UACGUAGGGGGCAAGCGUUGUCCGGAUUUAUUGGGCGUAAAGAGCGUGUAGGCGGCCAGAUAGGUCCGUUGUGAAAACUCGAGGCUCAACCUCGAGACGCCGAUGGAAACCAUUUGGCUAGAGUCCGGAAGAGGAGAGUGGAAUUCCUGGUGUAGCGGUGAAAUGCGCAGAUAUCAGGAAGAACACCCGUGGCUAAGGCGGCUCUCUAGUACGGUAUUGACGCUGAGACGCGAAAGCGUGGGGAGCGAACAGG
rnacentral:rRNA from 1 species